CCGGAGGAAGGUGGGAGUGACGUCAAAUCAUCAUGCCCCUUAUGUCUUGGGCUACACACGUGCUACAAUGGGCAGUACAGACGGAAGCGAAGCUGUGAAGUGGAGCAAAUCCGAGAAAGCUGUUCGUAGUUCGGAUUGUAGGCUGCAACUCGCCUACAUGAAGUCGGAAUCGCUAGUAAUCGCAGGUCAGCACACUGGCGGUGAAUACCGGUUCCCGGGCCUU
rnacentral:rRNA from 1 species